rnacentral:rRNA from 1 species
GACGAACGCUGGCGGCGUGCCUAAUACAUGCAAGUCGAGCGAGCUUGCCUAGAUGAAUUUGGUGCUUGCACCAGAUGAAACUAGAUACAAGCGAGCGGCGGACGGGUGAGUAACACGUGGGUAACCUGCCCAAGAGACUGGGAUAACACCUGGAAACAGAUGCUAAUACCGGAUAACAACACUAGACGCAUGUCUAGAGUUUAAAAGAUGGUUCUGCUAUCACUCUUGGAUGGACCUGCGGUGCAUUAGCUAGUUGGUAAGGUAACGGCUUACCAAGGCAAUGAUGCAUAGCCGAGUUGAGAGACUGAUCGGCCACAUUGGGACUGAGACACGGCCCAAACUCCUACGGGAGGCAGCAGUAGGGAAUCUUCCACAAUGGACGCAAGUCUGAUGGAGCAACGCCGCGUGAGUGAAGAAGGGUUUCGGCUCGUAAAGCUCUGUUGGUAGUGAAGAAAGAUAGAGGUAGUAACUGGCCUUUAUUUGACGGUAAUUACUUAGAAAGUCACGGCUAACUACGUGCCAGCAGCCGCGGUAAUACGUAGGUGGCAAGCGUUGUCCGGAUUUAUUGGGCGUAAAGCGAGUGCAGGCGGUUCAAUAAGUCUGAUGUGAAAGCCUUCGGCUCAACCGGAGAAUUGCAUCAGAAACUGUUGAACUUGAGUGCAGAAGAGGAGAGUGGAACUCCAUGUGUAGCGGUGGAAUGCGUAGAUAUAUGGAAGAACACCAGUGGCNAAGGCGGCUCUCUGGUCUGCAACUGACGCUGAGGCUCGAAAGCAUGGGUAGCGAACAGG